GAUGAACGCUGACCGAAUGCUUAACACAUGCAAGUCUUUGGCGAAGCUGUGCUUGCACAGCCUAGCCAAGGCGGACGGGUGAGUAACGCGUAAGGAACUUGCCCUGCAGUCAGGGAUAACAGACGGAAACGACUGAUAAGACCUGGUAAAGUCAGGCGGACUCAUGUCCAGCCUGAUGAAAAGAGAUGCUGCAGGAGAGCCUUGCGUCCUAUUAGCUUGUUGGUGGGGUAACGGCCCACCAAGGCGAUGAUAGGUAGCCGGCCUGAGAGGGUGGACGGCCACAAGGGGACAGAGAUACGGCCCUUACUCCUACGGGAGGCAGCAGUGGGGAAUAGUGGACAAUGGGGGCAACCCUGAUCCAGCAAUUCUGUGUGCACGAUGAAGGUUUUCGGAUUGUAAAGUGCUUUCAGCAGGGAAGAAAAAAAUGACGGUACCUGCAGAAGAAGCGACGGCUAAAUACGUG
rnacentral:rRNA from 1 species